AUAAGGAUUAGGUUUCCAAUGCUUUGCAUUCAUUUACUUUGCUUGCUCUCACCAGUAUGUGGAGGAGCACGGGCUGGAGCUUUGUGAAGCCAGGAAGCAUGCAGCCCUGGUCCUUCCUCCUGUUCAUUUACCUUUUCAGAUAAAGACCGUGGUGCACUAAGACAGUUGAGGUAGGAAGGUGCUUACUGCAGGGAUUUCUUUAGGAAGAUACAUUUGCUAGCUUCUGUGUGGUUACUCUGAUCAGUGGAUAAAUUCAGGCUUCUCUAAGGCCUAAAAUGAUCGGUUAUUCUGGGGCUGGGAGCUGUAGAUUCAUUGAAGAGGUCAUCUGUAAACUAAGAGCUGUAAACUAAGAGGAGCUGAGUUUGCACAGUCUGUAUCCACCACACAUGUUGAGGGGAGUGAUGACCAAUGAAAACUGUUCUGAGGAAGCAAAACUAAAUGACUGAUUUUGAUUUCUUUUGCUGUGAGCCCCUUAGAAUAGCUACCUCACCGAGGCAGAACUACUUACAGAAGUGCUAAAAUGCAAAAAGUUAAAUUGAAAACAAAAUGUCCCUUUUUCUUCCCUGCCCCAAAUAUGUGGCCGAUGAAAGGAUGUUUUGGCUCUUUGUGUGACCCUCCUGUACCCCAUUCAUUUAGUGUAGGCUCAGUGAGAAGCAUUUAUGCCUGAAAAGUUUUUUGAAAGAAACCUUGUUGCUUUGCUGUCAGCAUCUUGUCUUGAGAAAUUUGACCAGCAGAGAACUUCUGGGCUGAAAGAUGAUGCUUUUGUCAUUCUUCAGGGAUUCCAGAAUUCCCUUGUGUUGUUAAAGAAGCUGGUACCCAGCAGAUUUACUUGCAUAGCCAAGAGAUGUUACUUCCAGAUAGAUGUCCUUCAGAGUAGCUGUCAGGAGAGAACAGAGCUUAAAGGAUAACUUAGUGAGCCUGUUCACAUGGCACCUAGGGUAUAAAUACAAAAGUCAUACUUCUUUUAUUCAGCAAAUAAAGCAGUCGGUUUCAGAGGUCAGCGGGAGACUUACUGGUCACCUUUGGCAUGUUUUAUAGGCUGGAUUUUUCUGCCUUGUUUUGGGAGGCACUGACAGUCUGGUCCCAAUGGGAUCUGUUUUUGUUGUGAUUUUCGAUAGGGAUGUUUUCAUUAUUUGUGAAAUGUUUUUAUGCUGCACACGGGUACUGUACACUCUGUUUCCUGGAAGAAGACGCACUCUUUUACUGUUGGAUUUUAAAAGGAAUAACUGGGGCUUAAUCUUGAUGAAUGGUGUUUCUACACAGCUAUUUCAGCUUUUUCUUCUUAUCUAUGUGGCAGAUAACACAACCGCACUUACAUUUGUUCAUCUUGCAGCAAUAUGACUUAAAUCAGCUCACAUUCUGCUGUCUUUCUUCAAAACUGGGUUUUUGGGUAGCUCAGUGCUCGAAUCCUUGGCUUCGGGAUUAUAUCUGUGUUUUACCAGCAGGAAAUGCUGGGACUUCAGUAAUUCAAUUUGGCUUCAGAGGUUUGUGCUGUCCUCUACCAUUUCCAUUCGUCACAAAACAUGACAAAGCUGAAGUCCAAGAGGGAAGCAGUGGUAUCUUGCAAAUGGCUUCAUUACAAGAAA
ensembl:lncRNA